AGCAGCCGCGGUAAUUCCAGCUCCAAUAGCGUAUAUUAAAGUUGUUGCAGUUAAAAAGCUCGUAGUUGAAUUUCGGGGUUAGUAGGUUGGUCAUGCCACUGGUAUGUACUGGUCUCGCUGAUUCCUCCUUCCUGAUGAACUGUAAUGCCAUUAAUUUGGUGUUGCAGGGAAUCUGGACUGUUACUUUGAAAAAAUUAGAGUGUUUAAAACAGGCUAACGCCUGAAUACAUUAGCAUGGAAUAAUGAGAUAGGACGUUCGAUCCUAUUUUGUUGGUUUCUAGGAUUGACGUAAUGAUUAAUAGGGAUAGUUGGGGGCAUUAGUAUUCAAUUGUCAGAGGUGAAAUUCUUGGAUUUAUUGAAGACUAACUACUGCGAAAGCAUUUGCCAAGGAUGUUUUCAUUAAUCAAGAACGAAAGUUAGGGGAUCGAAGACGAUCAGAUACCGUCGUAGUCUUAACCAUAAACUAUAGCCGACUAGGGAUCGGAUGAUGUUAAUUUUUUAAUGACUCAUUCGGCGUACC
rnacentral:rRNA from 1 species